rnacentral:tmRNA from 1 species
GGGGGCGCCCGGUUUCGACUUUUUCGAACGUGCGCCUGUGGCAAGCCGGGGAUUGAGUCGGUUGGCCCCGUUAAAAAUCCGGCUCAAAAAAAUUAAAUGCUAACGAAGAGUUGGCUCUCGCGGCCUAAUAACGCCGUGACGUCUUGUCUCUGACUUCCGCUGGGGGAACAAGACGCUAUUAGCGGAACGGUUCGGGAAGCGGGCCACCGGCUUUCCGGGACGAACUGACUGGGGGCUGGAACGCCGGCGUGAGUGUCCGGGCAAACCGGCGUUUGAGAAAUUACCAGGCACUAAGCUUGUAGAGGCAGGCGUUCCUUCGGUUAAGGACGCGGGUUCGAUUCCCGCCGCCUCCACUC